GGACAUUUAAGAAAAAAAUCCCAAACUGAGGACAAUAAAGUAAUAUCAAAGCAUUUAAAUCUAAAACAAAUGUUUGCCCUCUUGAGUUUAUGCUCUGGACCUUUGUUGGUGAGAAUCUGUUAUCAUUGAAUCUUCUUAUUUACAACAUGAUUGUUUUUAAAUUGUAUCAUUAAUUUCUGCCUUGCGACCUUCUCAGAGAGAGCCUGAGGUUUGGGUCUAUAUCAGCCAAUGCGAUGUACAUAUCUGACACUGCUACACAGUAUCCGUGAUGACACUCUUACAACCAGAUAUUUCUGUUCCUUUUAUAAAUACUUUCAGGACAGUGCAAUUCCUGUGGAAUAGUUAGUUAUUACAUUCUUCUUCACAUACUAUACUAAUUAUAGAUGUGUCUGCCAUGCGAUGGGAAACACCCCAAACAAAU